rnacentral:tRNA from 1 species
GCCGAUGUGGUGAAAUUGGUAGACACGCUACGUUCAGGGCGUAGUGGGGGUAUCCCCGUGGGGGUUCGAGUCCCUCCAUCGGCACCA